GUGAGGUGGAGCAAAUCACAAAACCCGGUCUCAGUUCAGAUUGCAGGCUGCAACUCGCCUGCAUGAAGUUGGAAUUGCUAGUAAUCGCGAAUCAGAAUGUCGCGGUGAAUACGUUCCCGGGCCUUGUACACACCGCCCGUCACACCAUGAGAGUCGAUAACACCCGAAGCCUGUGAGCUAACCGCAAGGAGGCAGCAGUCGAAGGUGGGGUUGAUGACUUGGGGUGAAGUCGUAACAAGGUAAC
rnacentral:rRNA from 1 species